UUGUGCCUGCCCUUGAGGUAUUGGCAUGUGUGUGUCCUGGGGGGCAACACUCCCUCCUGUGCCCCGGGCCCCUCUCUAGCUGGCCCUCGGCUUUUCCCAAGGCCGUGGGUGAAGCCCCAGGCCGGGCCCCAGUCCCUGUUCUGCGGUCCGAGGCUGGGAGGGACGGGGACACCCAGGGAUGUGGUGGAGCUUGACAGCGCGUCACGUCUGUGUCCCUUCCAUGCGCCGUGAUGCACAAGCCCGAGGAACACUUCUCGUGUCUGAAAAGUGUCGUCCAGCGCCUCAGAGAAGUAGCUCCUGUCACUGAAAAGUUUGGCUUCAUCUUCUUCUGGCCUCAGAUCGGGAUCAGAAUGCUGAGAGAAACUGUGGAUCAGAGAAGAUUCUACCAUUGCUGACGUGAGAUGGAGCGAGAGCCAAGAUGAACAUGGGAAAGAAAACGUCCCAUGGAUGAGAUAAUGACAACUUUUGACCUAGAGAGCCUAGACUUUUUUAUGUUGCUUCUCCCAACUUUAUUCUCAAUGAUGAAAGAUUCCAAGUUUAACCACAAGUGACUUUAACCACAAGUGUCUCUGUGUUUCUAACUUUGGUUAUGUUCAAGAUUAUGUUUAAUAAUCAUGACCAUUUUAAAAGCUGAAACUGUCAAA